UGGCGGACGGGUGAGUAACGCGUGGGUAACCUGCCUCACACUGGGGGACGACAGUUAGAAAUGACUGCUAAUACCGCAUAAGCGCACAGGACCGCAUGGUCCGGUGUGAAAAACUCCGGUGGUGUGAGAUGGACCCGCGUUUGAUUAGCUAGUUGGUGGGGUAACGGCCUACCAAGGCGACGAUCAAUAGCCGACCUGAGAGGGUGACCGGCCACAUUGGGACUGAGACACGGCCCAA
rnacentral:rRNA from 1 species